GGGUUUUUAUUUCAUCAAUGUUGUUCUAUUCCUUAGUUUUGAGAAUAUAUACACAAAUUUUCUUUGGUUUGACAUUUGCCAUAAAUAGGUGCUUGGGAAUCGAGAGAGGAACUCUGAAUUUGGGAAAGACAGUCAAAACAGAUGAAUAAGAACAAGUCUCUCUUUUGAACUAUAAGUUGAGUCAGAGUAUUUCUUUUACUUGAUCAAAUAAGUCUCUCCAGGAAUUGCCAAAAAAUAAACGUAAUGGCUCUAAGCUUUAGGAUUUUCUAUUGAAAGCCUAUGAUAUUUGUUGUAUUAUAAGUCUGGAAUGUAUUGAACAUUGUGUUCUAAUAUAAGUAUGUCACGGAAUCUCUGUUUUUCUGCACAAAGUUCAUUUCAGUUAAUUUGAGUCCCAGAAAAUUGUGUUCU